AAAGAGUUCAUCAAAAUGCUGCUGAAAAUCUUGCUAAUUUAUUUUGCAAGACCUCCUAUUUGAGGUACUGGGGUAGCUCUACUCUAUUAAUUAUCAGUAGCUCCCCUCCUCCUUGUGUUUGCGUUUCUCCUCCCUCAGGUUUUGUGAAGGUAAAUUUUGAUGCAGUGGUUCAAGGGAACAAAAAGCUACUGCUUCUUUCAUUAUUCAUGAUUCUUCUAGAUUUCAUAUCUUAGCUGGCAGCA
rnacentral:lncRNA from 1 species